UAGGGAAUCUUCGGCAAUGGGGGGAACCCUGACCGAGCAACGCCGCGUGAGUGAAGAAGGUUUUCGGAUCGUAAAGCUCUGUUGUUAAGGAAGAACGAGUGUGAGAAUGGAAAGUUCAUGCUGUGACGGUACUUAACCAGAAAGGGACGGCUAACUACGUGCCAGCAGCCGCGGUAAUACGUAGGUCCCGAGCGUUGUCCGGAUUUAUUGGGCGUAAAGCGAGCGCAGGCGGUUAGAUAAGUCUGAAGUUAAAGGCAGUGGCUCAACCAUUGUAAGCUUUGGAAACUGUUUCACUUGAGUGCAGAAGGGGGGAGUGGAAUUCCAUGUGUGGCAGUGAAAUGCGUAGAUAUAUGGAGGAACACCGGUGGCGAAAGCGGCUCUCUGGUCUGUAUCUGACGCUGAGUCUCGAAAGCGUGGGGAGCGAACAGG
rnacentral:rRNA from 1 species